GCAGUCUUGAGUACAGUUGAGGUAGGCGGAAUUCGUGGUGUAGCGGUGAAAUGCUUAGAUAUCACGAAGAACUCCGAUUGCGAAGGCAGCUUACUAACCUGUAACUGACAUUGAUGCUCGAAAGUGUGGGCAUCAAACAGGAUUAGAUACCCUGGUAGUCCACACGGUAAACGAUGAAUACUCGCUGUAGGCGAUAUACAGUCUGCGGCCAAGCGAAAGCAUUAAGUAUUCCA
rnacentral:rRNA from 1 species